AUGAUGAUGAUGGGGCAGCGGCAGCCCACGUGUUGGCCCAAAUAUAAUAUGACGACCCAUUAAGCGGUGUGGGACGACGUCGUUUAGACCCAAAGUCGCCGUUCAGUAUCCGCCGUUGGUUUAGAGAUCAAUGAAGGAAUAGCAGCCGUUCGAUAGGCGCCCCACGAUUCCACUCAGCAAUAGUGGAAUUGGAUUCCAUCAGGGAACAACAAGACAAGUCCAGCAUCGUUAUUCUGUGGAUUCGGAGCCGCUACUCUGAUCGCGCGAAUUUCUCGCUCCGGCGACUUGGUUCCGAAAAUCGAAGUUUUCCGGCGAAAAUCCUAGGAAGUGAAGAUGUGUCAGUUAGCCAGGAAGAAGACAAGAAGCCCGGCGACACAUCAAUCUCAAGGUCAAAGGCCAGGUUGUGUGACGGGUAACUUUCUUCGUUCAUCUGUUCCGUGUUAGUGGUCACGGGUUCGGGUCCCGAACCCCCUUUGUGCACCGGACUGCCUUUGUUCUGGUUUAUUGGGAAUGUUGUUAGCAAAGGCUACUUCAUGUACUUAUAUACAGAGACGGCAUUGAAUUUAUUUUCUUGGUCGGGAGAGAAGCACUCUACUGAAAAAGCUGACCGGCAGUCUGUUGAUACCAACUCAAUUGCUUUCUUGUUUGACGGGCGUCGUCUCCGUGGGGAGCAGACUCCCGACAAGGUUCGGUUUAUCUCUUUUGAUUCCACCAUUUAGACUCUCCUUCUCUCACAAUUUCAACUGCAAUGGCAUUUCUACUAGCCCUAAUCUUUGAUACUACAGCUUGAGAGGGAAGACGGUGAUGAGAUCGAUGCCAUGCUUCACCGAGGUUCUAUGGCCUGAUAACAAUUUUCUAGGGUUCUUUUUUUUUCUGUUAUUGUUUGAUGUAAAUGGAUAUCAUUGGACAAAAUGUAGGAUUUGCAGGUCAGUUGUAUAGCCCUUCGGUUCUACAUUUUUGAAUCAUUUGUGUUAUUCACAUGCCAAUCCGGUUCGGUUU